rnacentral:rRNA from 1 species
UACGUAGGGACCAAGCGUUGUUCGGAUUUACUGGGCGUAAAGGGCACGUAGGCGGCGCGGUAAGUCACUUGUGAAAUCUCUGAGCUUAACUCAGAACGGCCAAGUGAUACUGCAGUGCUAGAGUGUGGAAGGGGCAAUCGGAAUUCUUGGUGUAGCGGUGAAAUGCAUAGAUAUGACCCGGAACACCUAUUGCGAAGGCAGCAGGCUAAACAAAUAUUGACGCUGAGGCUCGAAAGCGUGGGGAUCAAACAGG